GCCUGGCUGGCUCAGUCGGUGGAGCGUGCGACUCUUGAUCUCAGGGUUGUGAGUUCGAGCCCCACGUUGGGUG
rnacentral:tRNA from 1 species